CCACCUCACCAGGUGCAGCGGCUUGACCUCGGAUCUCAUAUCCUCUAGUAAUCUAAAAGAUAAAUGUCUCCUCUUUGUAAACUGCCCGGUCUUGGAUAUUCUGGCUUGGCAGCACAUGCUGGACUACGGUGAUGAGAUGGUGUAACAGGAGUCACCUACGGGUUCUUAUUAAAUGGCACAUUCUGAUGAAGCACGUCUGGGGCUGGGCCUGAGAGUCCCCUGAUCAGCUCCCAGGGGUGCUGAGGACUCUCGUCCGGAGUCUCACCCUGUGCGGUGGGAGCGGAGAGGAAACUAUAGUCGUGGUGGUGGAGAUGGAGGGAAGGCGACAGCGGUUGAGGACAUUCAGAAGGCAAAAGCCAAAGGCUACAGUGAAGAAUUAGGUGAGAUUGAAUCAAACUUGAGAGAGGCGGUACUGCUAAGGGAGCCACAUGGAUUUCCAGCGCGCACUGAGGAUUAAUGGAGCAGAUGAUCACCAGCGUUGCACCUUCUUCCCACCUUCACUGAAAACAUCUCAGGCCACAGCAUCUGUGAUCACUGGGCUCCAGGAUGGAAGCCUUCAGCCUUACUUUGGCAAACUUUGGCCU